CAGGGAUCCAUGGUGCCAGGAUGACAGGAAGGAAAGAAGGUGGAUGCCAGUGGAUUAGUAGCAGACCAGGCAGUAAGGCAGUAUUAGUAGCAGAACAGACAGCAGGCAGUAAGGCAGUAUUAGUAGCAGACCAGACAGCAGGCAGUAUUAGUAGCAGACCAGACAGCAGGCAGUAUUAGUAGCAGAACAGACAGCAGGCAGUAUUAGUAGCAGAACAGACAUCAGGCAGUAUUAGUAGCAGAACAGACAGCAGGCAGUAAGGCAGUAUUAGUAGCAGAACAGACAGCAGGCAGUAAGGCAGUAUUAGUAGCAGAACAGACAGCAGGCAGUAUUAGUAGCAGAACAGACAGCAGGCAGUAAGGCAGUAUUAGUAGCAGAACAGACAGCAGGCAGUAUUAAGAGCAGAACAGACAGCAGGCAGUAUUAGUAGCAGAACAGACAGCAGGCAGUAAGGCAGUAUUAGUAGCAGAACAGACAGCAGGCAGUAAGGCAGUAUUUGCUUAAUCUGGG
ensembl:lncRNA